rnacentral:lncRNA from 1 species
CAGCAAUCCAGCCUGAAGGACUUAGCUCAUAGAUGUCUUCUGAAAUGUGGAAGAAAUACUUUCGUUUGUCAUAAAACCUCAGCAGGAGAUUGGAGUCUGGAAGAGGGAGGGGAGAAGAGGAGGACCUCAGGGAGAUUGUUUUGCUUAUUGGUGUUUAAUUAAAAACCAAACAACUUUUCCUAUUAACUUGAUGCUACUUAUUAAUUGAAAUGAGGAGACUGACUCUGGAUAUUGGGAAAAUUUAUGGGCACAUACAGAGGAAAAGACAUGUGGGGACAUAAUGAGAGGACAGCCAUCUGCAAGCCAAGAAGAGAAUCCUCACCAGAAACCAACUUGACUGGAAUCUUGAUCUUGAACUUCUUGCUUCCAGAAUUAUGAGAAAAUAAAUUGUUGUUUAACCCACACAGUCUAUUGUACUUAGUUGUAGCAGUCUGAGAAGACUAAUACAUUGAU